ACGGGAGGCAGCAGUGGGGAAUAUUGCACAAUGGGGGAAACCCUGAUGCAGCGACGCCGCGUGAAGGAAGAAGUAUCUCGGUAUGUAAACUUCUAUCAGCAGGGAAGAUGAUGACAGUACCUGACUAAGAAGCCCCGGCUAACUACGUGCCAGCAGCCGCGGUAAUACGUAGGGGGCAAGCGUUAUCCGGAUUUACUGGGUGUAAAGGGAGCGUAGACGGCAUGGCAAGUCUGAAGUGAAAGCUCGGGGCUCAACCCCGGAACUGCUUUGGAAACUGUCAGGCUAGAGUACCGGAGGGGUAAGCGGAAUUCCUAGUGUAGCGGUGAAAUGCGUAGAUAUUAGGAGGAACACCAGUGGCGAAGGCGGCUUACUGGACGGUAACUGACGUUGAGGCUCGAAAGCGUGGGGAGCAAACAGGAUUAGAUACCCUGGUA
rnacentral:rRNA from 1 species